rnacentral:rRNA from 1 species
UGCAACAGAGCAGGUAUCAGGCCCAACAAUGUUAGCCCAUUACACCUUGCCAAGCCACAUCCCCACGGAUUAUCAGCAGUGACUAAUAUUAGGCAAUGAGUACUCCAAACUCGACCUAGCUAAAACCUCCUUGGCCGGCAAAUCUCGUGCCAGCAGCCGCGGUUACACGGGAGACCAAAGAUAACUUCCUAACGGCGUAAAGAGUGACCACAGAUUCCCCCACCUGUCACCGGACCCCAAAAUCCUAUCUUAGAGAUGAAAUCCCAAGAUAUUCAGAACCCCUAAACACCCAUAAUCAGGCUAUCUAACUCACGAAAACCAGGUCACAAACUAGGAUU